GCCGGGCAAGGUGGUGGGCGCCUGUAGUCCCAGCUACUCGGGAGGCUGAGGCAGGAGAAUGGCUUGAACCCGGGAGACAGAGGUUGCAGUGAGCCGAGAUUGCACCACUGCACUCCAGCCUGGGCGACAGUGAGACUCCGUCUCAAAAAAAAUUUUUUUNNNNNNNNNNUUUUUUGAGAUGGAGUCUUGCUGUCGCCCAGGCUGGAGUGCAGUGGUGCAAUCUCGGCUCACUGCAACCUCUGUCUCCCGGGUUCAAGCUGUUCUCCUGCCUCAG
rnacentral:SRP_RNA from 1 species